UAACGUGUGGGCAACCUGCCCUAUACUGGGGAAUAAUCACUGGAAACGGUGACUAAUACCGCAUGUCAUCACGAGAAGGCAUCUUUUUGUUGAGAAAAGGAAGUAAUUCGGUAUAGGAUGGGCCCGCAUCUGAUUAGCUAGUUGGUGAGAUAACAGCCCACCAAGGCGACGAUCAGUAGCCGACCUGAGAGGGUGAUCGGCCACAUUGGGACUGAGACACGGCCCAA
rnacentral:rRNA from 1 species